rnacentral:misc_RNA from 1 species
GAUGAAGAACGCAGCGAAAUGCGAUAAGUAAUGUGAAUUGCAGAAUUCAGUGAAUCAUCGAAUCUUUGAACGCACAUUGCGCCCGCCAGUAUUCUGGCGGGCAUGCCUGUUCGAGCGUCAUUUCAACCAUCAAGCCCCAGGCUUGUGUUGGGGACCUGCGGCUGCCGCAGGCCCUGAAAACCAGUGGCGGACUCGCUGUCACACCGGGCGUAGUAGAUUUUAUCUCGCUCAGGGCGUGCUGCGGGUUCCGGCCGUUAAAAAGCCUUUUUUACCCAAGGUUGACCUCGGAUCAGGUAGGAAGACCCGCUGAACUUAAGCAUAUCAAUAAGCGGAGGA